UUAUAUAAAGGGCACAAAGCAGCAUUACAUGACAUUCUAUCAAAAUAUGGAAAAUUCUAAAAGCCAAAAGCAUUUUGUCCUCGUACAUGGGGCAUGCCAUGGAGCUUGGUGUUGGUACAAAGUCAAGCCGCUGCUCGAGUCCUCCGGCCACCGUGUCACAGCGCUCAACAUGGCGGCUUCCGGCAUAGACAUGACGGCAAUACAAGACGUUCAUACAAUUGAAGAAUACACUAAGCCUUUGUUGGAAUUUUUGGAAAAGUUACCAAAAAAUAAUGAGAAGGUUAUAGUUGUUGGACAUAGCCUUGGUGGCUUCAAUUUAGCUGUUGCUAUGGAGAAAUUUCCAGAAAAGAUUGAUGUUGCUGUUUUCUUAACAGCUUUCAUGCCGGAUAUUGAUCAUCGUCCGUCUUUUAUCUUGGAUCAGUUUGAUGAACGGACACCAACCGAGACAUGGCUUGAUACUCAAUUUGCACCCUACAGCAGCUCUCUGCAGCAUCUCACUACAAUAUUUUUUGGCCCCAAAGUUACGGCCUCCAAAUUCUAUCAACUGAGCCCUGUCGAGGAUCGUGAAUUGGCGAAGGCUUUGUUAAGGCCAUCGUCAUUUUUCGUGUAUGAUUUGUCGAAGGCGAAAAAUUUUUCAACGAAAGGAUAUGGAUCAGUGAAAAGGGUUUAUAUUUUAUGCGGCGAGGAUAAAAUAAUAACUGAGGAAUUUCAACGGUGGAUGAUUGAAAAUCAUCCAGUUGAGGAAGUGAUCAAAAUUGACGAUGCCGAUCAUAUGGCUAUGUUUUCAAAACCAAAAGAACUGGGUCAUCGUCUCUUAGAGAUUGCUGAUAAAUAUGCUUAAAAAUCUCGAUGGGCAAAAUCUAUACAUAGGUUCCUCUAUUUUAUCAGUUUUAUUUGAGAGGCUUCUACUUUAAAGUUGUUCACGUUCAGGUCCCUGUACUUAGCAAAUUCCAUUUUUCAUGUUCUUUUGAGAAACUGGAGGAAUAAAAAAAUUAUAAGUAGAGGGAUUAAAAAAAACUUAAAAAUGAAAAAUUAGAUAAAUAAAGGGACCGGAAGAACAAUACAAUAGUAUAAACGCGCCCUGAAUAAAAAUGGUAUACCAUAAGGACUUUUAAAUAGGUUAAGCCAUUCUCGAUGAUCCGUCCACUUUUCAAUUUCAAUUUAGGCCAGUAAGCAUUAUGUGAUAUUAUAAUAAUGUGGGAGUAGAUUCUCCAUCGUUUGGAUUGCUAUGAGAGCAAAAAAAGUAAAAAAAAAUAAACAAUUUAUUUCUUUUGAUUUUGAGAGUGGGAGAUGAUAAUCUUCGGUUUUUAGCUGAAAAUCAUCUUCUCUAGACUCUUUUUAUAUUUUUAUUUUUUUAAAUAAAUUGUUAUAUUUUUAGAGAUUGAUGUAUAAUUUUCACGUGUUUUAAAUGUUGUAAAUUGAAAUUUGUUGUGUUAAUCAUUGGCUGAAUAUAUAGUUUGACCCCUGAAUUUGUACCCUUUUACCUAUCUAACCUCUAAACUUAACGUCCCACCUAUCGAACCUCUGAACUUGUUAAAUAAUCCGAUUUGACCCCUGAACUUGAUAAAAACGUAAACAUUGAACCCCUCCGUACACAAUUUCUUCUAGAAUGUUUCAAGUGACAGGUGGCACGGAGGGGUUCAAUAUUUACGUAUUUAUUAAGUUUAGGGGUUAAAUCGGAUUAUUUAACAAGUUCAGAGGUUCGAUAGGUGAGACGUUAAGUUUAGAGGUUAGAUGGGUAAAAGGGUACAAGUUCAGGGGUCAAACUAUGUAUUAAGCCGUUAAUCAUUGCAUGGAAUGUAUUGGUAAAACAAUCAAUGAUGAGCAUAUGGAAUAAGAAGAAUAUGAACCAAACCGGAAGCUAUUCUUUUCUUGUGAUGUGAUUAUUGACUUUUAUAUGGUAUAUUUUUAAGAAAUUACAUGUUUUGUUCAUAGAAAAGACAUGAUUAUGAGCCCAACUAUUAAAAUAAAAAGGAGCAUAGAAGUUCACAUGUCAGAUGUUAGUUCGUUUCCCCAAAUAUAUAAUUCGCACAAGUAUAUAAUAGGACUAUGCAAUUCGAGUUAUCGAUCCCAUAAGAAAGGCAAUAUUUUAAGCACCAUUUCAAGCUGCUCUAAUUUGUCUAGUGGAAAAAAAUUUAGUUUUCAAAGUAGGCUCUUCAAACUAAGAACAAAUCCAAUUUUAAACUAAUCUAAUUAAAAGCACAAAUAGAAAACAAGAUUGUAAGACAAAUGGUUGAAGGCGAUUUAGGACUAAUAAUCAAUAUGUUGUUGAUGUCACGAUAUAUGGUUGAAGCAUAGGUUUAUAGUUCGGAGUAUUUUAAUACGCUAAAUAAAGCUCUCUCGGCUCAAAUAACCUAACAAAAGCUUAAUUAAAUAAACUAAUCCAAUUAGCAACUCAUUUGUAUUAUCUCAGGUUUUAUCGUCAGUUUUCCCGAGGUUUCAAUAUGGUUUCAAUUUAGUUUCCAACUGUGUAUGUGUUGAUUUUAGUCCACGUGUAUAAAUUUCGUUGACAUAUUUUUGGUUUUUAAGUGUUUACAUGUGUUGUUAUAUGUGUGGUUGCAUUUGAAUUUUAAAUCGCGUUAUAAAUCGAGCAUUUUACGAGUUUCGUCCAAAGUUUAAACUAUUUUAUGGGUUGGAGUACGAUCUUCCAAUGGUCUUGAUUCUUCUUACGUGCCAUUUGUUCGAUCCAUGGAUAACAUAUUACAUGCCGUUGGAUUUGACGAUCUCUGUGGCUUGCUUCUAAAUGAGAAAUCAUGUCUAAACAAUGAAAAUAUGCAGACAGCUGUUGUACCUUCGGUGUUUACAGUCUCUGGUUAGCGAUUUCCUCAGUCCUUUUGAGGACGUGGAGGUCAAACUCGUGGACGUGGUUGUCAAUCAUAUUGGCACAAUAAUUCUGCGCAUAAUUUUCGCUACGCUCGGUCUUGGCAACCUGAUCCUCAUUCCUCUCAAGGUUCGGCUUCUCCUUCUAUAUUUUCUGUCCUUGAUCUUUGAGUAUAACAUGUUUCAAUUGCAAUGGCAAGGGACACUAUGCAAACAAAUGUUCAUCACCAAAGAUUAAGCGUGAAAGUCGUUACUCUGCUCAACCAAACCACCAACAAUCUCACCAUCCACAGUCAGCAUCUCAUCUAGCUACCUCUCAAACACAGCCAUGGAUAAUGGACUCCGUAGUAACACAUCAUUUAACUUCAGAUCUCAAAAACCUUCAUGCUCCGCUCAAUUACGCUUGGCCAGAUGGAAUAAAACUCGGUGAUGAGUAGGCAUUUCCAUUCAAGUUAAAUGAUGUGUUGCCCCGUUAGCAGAGUUCAAAUUGAUCACCACCUACUAUUCUGCUUCCUUCGCAACUACCAGUGUCAAAUUUAAAAGCAUUAUCCCAAUUUCAGUCCAACUCUACCACUUCACCAACAGCUCAAUAAAUCCAAUCUCCUAAUUCUCCAUCAACUCUCACCAAGCUACUAAACCAACCGAAUCCACCAGUACGACUUCCGAUUAUUUUAGAUGUUGAACGAACAAAUUCUCCUAAUCCAGCAAACUCUUCAACCUAAUCUCAUCCAUAUAGCACCAGAUCAACAUGUUAUUCUGAAGCAAUAAAACAAAAGGACCGGCAAGAAGCAAUGCAUGACGAGGUAACAGCUCUACUACAAAAUCAGACUUGGGAUCUUGUUCCUCCACCGGCAACACAAAACGUUAUCAGCAACAAGUGGGUUUUUCGUAUCUAAUGGAAUCCUAACGGUACAGUACACGCUACAAGGCUCGUCUUGUGGCUAAGGGAUUCCAUGGAAGACCUGGGAUACAACGACCUGGGAUUUCGUAUCUAACCAUUCCCAUUUUUUUUCUUGUUUCCUCCGGAAAUGGACAGCUUCCUGCACCCACAUACCUGAAUCAUGAUCUUCCUUUGACCUUGCAUUAGAUUCAUCUUUCUUGACUCUUAAGUUAAGACUUUUCACAAUAUAUAAAAGAAAGAGUUAAUUAGACUGUUUCUAUUAAACUCAAUCACUAGAUUAAACAGAAUAACUCUUAUCUUACUUUUCUUUUAUAAAUUUCUAUUAAAUUAAUUAAUUAUUAUAUUGAUUA